rnacentral:lncRNA from 1 species
AAAGGUACAGCAGGACAUUCCUGGACAUGGAGUGAAGGAACAGCUCCAGAACCUUUGCAAUGUUUAUGCCCUCUACAUUCUUCACAAGCACCUGGGCGACUUCCUGGCAACUGGGUGCAUCACACCGAAGCAGGGAGCGUUGGCAAAUGAGCAACUUGGCAAGCUUUACGCACAGGUAUGCUGGUGUUUUUUUUGUCUUCUAGUAGCAGUAUUUCUGUAUGAUAUGAAGUGUAAGUUGGUGCUGGACAUGAUCUGCAACAGGUGCGUCCAAAUGCUGUUGCUCUGGUGGAUGCGUUCAACUACACAGACCACUACCUGGGGUCGGUGCUGGGGCGGUAUGACGGGAAUGUGUACCCGGCACUGUAUGAGGAGGCGUGGAAGGA